AACGAACGCUGGCGGCAUGCCUAACACAUGCAAGUCGAACGAGACCUUCGGGUCUAGUGGCGCACGGGUGCGUAACGCGUGGGAACCUGCCUUUAGGUUCGGAAUAACUCAGAGAAAUUUGAGCUAAUACCGGAUGAUGUCUUCGGACCAAAGAUUUAUCGCCUUUAGAUGGGCCCGCGUUGGAUUAGCUAGUUGGUGGGGUAAAGGCCUACCAAGGCGACGAUCCAUAGCUGGUCUGAGAGGAUGAUCAGCCACACUGGGACUGAGACACGGCCCAGACUCCUACGGGAGGCAGCAGUGGGUAAUAUUGGGCAAUGGGCGAAAGCCUGAUCCAGCAAUGCCGCGUGAGUGAUGAAGGCCUUAGGGUUGUAAAGCUCUUUUACCCGAGAUGAUAAUGACAGUAUCGGGAGAAUAAGCUCCGGCUAACUCCGUG
rnacentral:rRNA from 1 species